ACUCGGCUCGUUUACUUUAAUAGUUUUCUGUCAUGGGUGUCAUGGCGUCAUAGAACAUUUUGUUGUUAAACCUUAACGGCUUAUUGCUCAACGUGUUUUCUUAACUCGCUUCGAUAAUCGACGCCAGUGAAUCACGGUUCAAUAUUAUCACGUACCUACUCUAUAAAUUGUUAUUCGUGUACUCACAUUGUUAAUUGUUAUAAUAGUGCGUACUGAUGUCGGUAAUUUGGAAUUCAAUGCAUUUAAUUUUAAUAUAAUCGUUUGAUUGACAUUUACUUUUGUUUACAAUAUUCAAUAUGACGUGGUCGGUUAUUCACUUCUUUAAAGAUAAUGGAGUAGAGGUAGUACCUAGCACAUGGUUUAAAGAUGAUACAUGUGCUUGGCCUAAGACCCAUGUGAAACGUUUUAUUAAAAACCAAUGUAUACCAAAUACUAUAGAGUUCGAGUGGUUCAAAGCUAGGGCAUUGUCUACAAGUAUUUAAUCGUUUCUUAAUGCUAGAACGAAAUGCAAAAAAUAAUUGAUCACUUCGGAUUUAUCAUCUACUGAAGAUGACAAUUAUUCUAAAAUAAAAAAUACAAAUAAUGGAAAAAAAUCAAAAUCUGGUAAUAAUUGCAGUAAUAACAAAAAAACGGGAUAUGGCGCUGACAAAUCAGACAUUGAAACUGAUAGCGAUUACAAUAAUUAUGAAUUACCAGCUUAUGAUUCUGGUGAUAAUAAUUCCAGUACAAAUAACAUUAAUUCUCUGUCUAAGAAAUCUUGUGUUGAUGAUAUGCUCAUUACUCCAUCAAAAAAUAUACGAACAUUAGUCACCAUCAAAAACUCCAGUUUUUGAAUCUAUUGAUGAUAAUUUCUGCAUGGUGAAAAAUGUGUCACCUAAUAGAAGAAAUAAACAUUUUGUACUUUCUCCUAAUAAUUUGGCAAGAGCAGAAAAAAACAAUAAGAGAAAUUUAUCGGAAUCUUCUAGAAAAGUAUAUCCAUCUCCUGAAACUUUUCAAUCACUAUUAGAAAAUAAACAAAAAACGCCUCCAAAUCCAAAUAAAUAAAAAAAUUCUUCAGAAGAUCAAUUUAAGGAACUCAUUUUAUACAAUCUUUUAGUAUUGAAACACAGCAUUAGAAACAUCAAUGAAAAAUUGACAUUGGUUGUCGAAAGGCAGAUUUCACACAAUUAUAAUGUUGAAGAAUCUAAUGAUCUUACAUUAGAAUAUUCUAAUUUGGACUGCUUAUUACCAAUUGAUGAAGAAGAUACAUUAGACAAUAUAGAAGAAAAGAUAAGAAAUACCAUGCAUCAUUGACUAAACAGUUAGCUGGACUUGGCGGAAAAAGUAUCAAAGUCAUGGUCAAAAGAAUCAUGGGAUAUUUGUUCACUGACAACAUCUUAGCCUUAUAUUCUUUUAAUGGCAGAGCAAAUAAAAAAAAAAUGUUUUGCAAAUCUAUCCAUUUCAAAAGUUAUAUUCAGUGCUGUUAAAUCAAUUAAACGAUUGAAUAAUGAAUCAUCGACCGAUGAAAUUGAAAAAUACAUUAAGUAUUAUCUCAUUCAAGCACCAUUCUACAUAAAAAAGAAAAAAGAGAUGUUUCAUUGAAUAUGAAUAUCAUUUAAUUUUGUAAUUAUUAUGUACAAUAUAAUAUAGCUAGGCUAGGUUUGCCUUUUAGUUAUAUCAUAUUUCAACUAUAUAUAUAUACUAUUAUAUUAUAUUCUAAAUAAAUGUAUAGGUACAUUAUGUUUUUACUAUUAUUAUAUUGUUAUAGGGCCUAACAA